rnacentral:SRP_RNA from 1 species
GGUGCCUCGCCAACCCGGUCAGAUCCGGAAGGAAGCAGCCGUAACGAGACCCACUUGGGUCGUUAUCAGCCUCU